rnacentral:rRNA from 1 species
CGCUGAUGUGCGCAGCCUGAUGCAGCGACGCCGCGUGAGGGAUGACGGCCUUCGGGUUGUAAACCUCUUUCACCAGGGACGAAGCGCGAGUGACGGUACCUGGAGAAGAAGCACCGGCCAACUACGUGCCAGCAGCCGCGGUAAUACGUAGGGUGCGAGCGUUGUCCGGAAUUACUGGGCGUAAAGAGCUCGUAGGCGGUUUGUCGCGUCGUCUGUGAAAUUCUGCAACUCAAUUGUAGGCGUGCAGGCGAUACGGGCAGACUUGAGUACUACAGGGGAGACUGGAAUUCCUGGUGUAGCGGUGAAAUGCGCAGAUAUCAGGAGGAACACCGGUGGCGAAGGCGGGUCUCUGGGUAGUAACUGACGCUGAGGAGCGAAAGCGUGGGUAGCGAACAGGAUUAGAUACCCUGGUAGUCCACGCCGUAAACGGUGGGUACUAGGUGUGGGGCUCAUUUCACGAGUUCCGUGCCGUAGCUAACGCAUUAAGUACCCCGCCUGGGGAGUACGGCCGCAAGGCUAAAACUCAAAGGAAUUGACGGGGGCCCGCACAAGCGGCGGAGCAUGUGGAUUAAUUCGAUGCAACGCGAAGAACCUUACCUGGGUUUGACAUACACCAGACGCAUGUAGAGAUACAUGUUCCCUUGUGGUUGGUGUACAGGUGGUGCAUGGCUGUCGUCAGCUCGUGUCGUGAGAUGUUGGGUUAAGUCCCGCAACGAGCGCAACCCUUGUCCUGUAUUGCCAGCGGGUUAUGCCGGGGACUUGCAGGAGACUGCCGGGGUCAACUCGGAGGAAGGUGGGGAUGACGUCAAGUCAUCAUGCCCCUUAUGUCCAGGGCUUCACACAUGCUACAAUGGCUGGUACAGAGGGCUGCGAUACCGUGAGGUGGAGCGAAUCCCUUAAAGCCAGUCUCAGUUCGGAUUGGGGUCUGCAACUCGACCCCAUGAAGUCGGAGUCGCUAGUAAUCGCAGAUCACCAACGCUGCGGUGAAUACGUUCCC